AGACCCGAAACCCGGUGAUCUAGCCAUGGGCAGGUUGAAGGUUGGGUAACACUAACUGGAGGACCGAACCGACUAAUGUUGAAAAAUUAGCGGAUGACCUGUGGCUGGGGGUGAAAGGCCAAUCAAACCGGGAGAUAGCUGGUUCUCCCCGAAAGCUAUUUAGGUAGCGCCUCGUGAACUCAUCUCCGGGGGUAGAGCACUGUUUCGGCUAGGGGGCCAUCCCGGCUUACCAACCCGAUGCAAACUGCGAAUACCGGAGAAUGUUAUCACGGGAGACACACGGCGGGUGCUAACGUCCGUCGUGAAGAGGGAAACAACCCAGACCGCCAGCUAAGGUCCCAAAGUCAUGGUUAAGUGGGAAACGAUGUGGGAAGGCCCAGACAGCCAGGAUGUUGGCUUAGAAGCAGCCAUCAUUUAAAGAAAGCGUAAUAGCUCACUGGUCGAGUCGGCCUGCGCGGAAGAUGUAACGGGGCUAAACCAUGCACCGAAGCUGCGGCAGCGACACUUUAGUGUUGUUGGGUAGGGGAGCGUUCUGUAAGCCGUUGAAGGUGUGUCGUGAGGC
rnacentral:rRNA from 1 species